GAUGAACGCUGGCGGCGUGCCUAAUACAUGCAAGUCGAGCGAACAGACGAGGAUCUUGCUCCUCUGACGUUAGCGGCGGACGGGUGAGUAACACGUGGAUAACCUACCUAUAAUACUGGGAUAACUUCGGGAAACCGGAUCUAAUACCGGAUAAUAUAUUGAACCGCAUGGUGCAAUAGUGAAAUACGGUUUUUCUGUCACGUAUAGAUGGUUCCGCGCCGCAUUAGCUAGUUGGUAAGGUACCGGCUUACCAAGGCGACGAUGCGUAGCCGACCUGAGAGGGUGAUCGGCGCCAGUGAAACUGAGACACGGUCCAGACACUGACGGGAGGCAGCAGUAGCGAAUCUACCGAAAUGGGCGAAAGCUUGACGGAGCGACGCAGCGUGAGUGAUGAAGGUCUGCGGAUCGUAAAACUCUCUUAUUAGGGAAGACCAAAUGUGUAAGUAACUAUGCACGUCUUGACGGAACCUAAACAGAAAGCCACGGCUAAUUACUU
rnacentral:rRNA from 1 species